rnacentral:lncRNA from 1 species
GUGAACUUUAGUGGGACAAAAACAUUCAACCUUACAGAAGCACCAACUCCCAAAGUUACUGCUUUGUACAUUUGGAGGACAGGAGCCAAAGCCAUCUACCACCAGCUGGAGGCUGCAUGAUGGUGGCCCUGGAAAGCAGAGACCAGCUCAUCUACUUCCAACAGCCCAUCUUCCUCUGGGGCACUGAGACAACAGAGAAGCAGUGAGGGACAAUGAGACUCAUGUGACUGACCCUUCUAACAUGUCAUCAGCAAUCGAAAUAUACGGCCCUGGAAGACACUCCUUCUUUCAGCUGGGAACUUAUAAAUGUCAAGGAAUUUCUAAGCAAGUUGAGAGGAACCCAGCACGAUGGGGAUCUCCACGAUCAUCCUUGAAAUAUGUCUUUUGUGGGGUCAAGUUCUCUCUGCAGGUAUUAUGUCUAAUUAUUGUAUUCAUUAAUUGCACUCCCACAAACCUAAAUCCUGGCAAAUCUGAUCUAACUGUUCCUCCGCACUGGAGUUUUGUAUUGGGCAGGAGGUGGUUCUUUGCUGGUAAUUGUA